UACGGGGGGGGCAAGCGUUGUUCGGAAUUACUGGGCGUAAAGGGCGCGUAGGCGAUUCGCUAAGUUGAAUGUGAAAACUCUGGGCUUAACCCAGAGCCUGCAUCCAAAACUGGCGAACUGGAGUACUGGAGGGGAAAGCGGAAUUCCUGGUGUAGCGGUGAAAUGCGCAGAUAUCAGGAGGAACACCGGUGGCGAAGGCGGCUUGCUGGGCCUUACCUGACGCUGAGGAGCGAAAGCGUGGGGAGCGAACAGG
rnacentral:rRNA from 1 species